rnacentral:rRNA from 1 species
AUACGGAGGGUGCAAGCGUUACUCGGAAUCACUGGGCGUAAAGCGCGCGCAGGCGGUCUUUUAAGUUGGAUGUGAAAGCCUACGGCUCAACCGUAGAACUGCAUCCAAAACUAUUAGACUUGAGUGUGGGAGAGGAAGAUGGAAUUAGUUGUGUAGGGGUAAAAUCCGUAGAGAUAACUAGGAAUACCAAAAGCGAAGGCAAUCUUCUGGAACACUACUGACGCUGAGGCGCGAAAGCGUGGGGAGCAAACAGGAUUAGAAACCCCAGUAGUCC